UGACAGCAGCACAUGAACCCUUUCCCCUCGUUUAAUGAAGUUUAUCAAUUGAAGGAUUGCAACAGAGAUAUUAUUACCACGAUAAAUAGAUUGCGUUUUGGCUCUAAUACUGCACCGUCACACCUUGCAAGAUUGGGUAUCGUUGAGAAUAAAAAAUUUCCACAAUCCACAUUGCAAUUCAAAUGAAGGAAACACGGCAGGAACUUCGUAGGCAGUUUGUGUGCCAAAAUCAGUUUGAAAAAAGAUUUCUCGCCUUUGUCCCGACGACUAUCCUACUUUGUUUAGCGAUCGCGAGAUAACCAGUGGUAUUCCGCAAACCACGGUUACAAACCUCAAUACAACUGUUCCAUCAGUGAUCAUGGUUAUUGUAGAAAGAGGUGUCAUGUCGAUCACACAUAUUGUAAACUAGAGGUCAUGCAGAACCACACAAAAUAUCAUGGUGACAUUGAUGUAAUAUCAACAUAGCAACCAGAAAACAUACCAUCUAUAUCAGAAUAUAGAAAUGAUGCUAGAGAAAUGCCUAUAGAUGACGCUGUGCAUCACACUCCAUCAAGGAAGAGAAGACCACGUGUCAUUUUAAAGAAAAUGAAUCUUUCACCUCAUUGUGGAAGUCUUUAUCGUGAAUUUACCAUAUCACGAAAGCAGCUUAACUUUGAUUUAGGAGCUAAAAGUGCAUUAAAUUUUUCACAAGAGAAAUCAUUUAUAAAGCUUACAGAGAAAAUGAACCAUAUGGCAAAAAAAAAAUUUGUGGAUGCAGGCCUACAAUAAGUUUAAAAGGAAAAUGAAAAAUAAAAUAAGAUAACAU